rnacentral:misc_RNA from 1 species
ACUCUGUCCAAGCUUUUGGGCCUGCC